rnacentral:rRNA from 1 species
ACACGCUGGCGGCAGGCUACACACUGCAAGGUUUGAACGCGCCUUCGGGCGAGCGGCGGACGGGUUAGUAACGCGUGGGAACGUGCCCAGAUCUACGGAAUAGCCACUGGAAACGGUGAGUAAUACCGUAUACGCCCUUCGGGGGAAAGAUUUAUCGGAUUUGGAUCGGCCGCGUUAGAUUAGUAGUUGGUGGGGUAACGGCUACCAAGCCUACGAUCUAUAGCUGGUUUUAGAGGAUGAUCAGCAACACUGGGACUGAGACACGGCCCAGACUCCUACGGGAGGCAGCAGUGGGGAAUCUUGUGACAAUGGGGGCAACCCUGAUCCACCCAUGCCGCUGUGAGUGACAGAAGGCCCUAGGGUCGUAAAACUCUUUCGCCUGUGAUGAUAACUGACAGUAGCAGGUAAAGAAACCCCGGAUAACUCCGUGCCAGCAGCCCGCGGUAAUACAGGAGGGGGUUAGCCGUAGUUCGGAAUUACUGGGCGUAAAGCGCACGUACGCGGAUUAGAAAGUUAGAGGUGAAAUCCCGGGGCUCAACCCGGAACUGCCUUUAAGAAACUAACUAGUCUAGAGUCCGAGAGAGGUGAGUGGAAUUCCGAGUGUAAGGUGACAUUCCGGAAGAUAUUCGGGAGGAACAA